AUUGAACGCUGGCGGCAUGCUUUACACAUGCAAGUCGAACGGUAACAGGCCGCAAGGUGCUGACGAGUGGCGAACGGGUGAGUAAUGCAUCGGAACGUGCCCAGUCGUGGGGGAUAACGCAGCGAAAGCUGCGCUAAUACCGCAUACGAUCUCUGGAUGAAAGCGGGGGACCGAAAGGCCUCGCGCGAUGGGAGCGGCCGAUGUCAGAUUAGGUAGUUGGUGGGGUAAAGGCCCACCAAGCCAACGAUCUGUAGCUGGUCUGAGAGGACGACCAGCCACACUGGGACUGAGACACGGCCCAGACUCCUACGGGAGGCAGCAGUGGGGAAUUUUGGACAAUGGGCGCAAGCCUGAUCCAGCAAUGCCGCGUGCAGGAAGAAGGCCUUCGGGCUGUAAACUGCUUUUGUACGGAACGAAACGGUCCGGGUUAAUACCCUGGGCUAUGACGGUACCGUAAGAAUAAGCACCGGCUAACUACGUGCCAGCAGCCGCCGUAA
rnacentral:rRNA from 1 species